GAUGAACGCUGGCGGCGUGCCUAAUACAUGCAAGUCGAGCGAACGGACGAGAAGCUUGCUUUUCUGACGUUAGCGGCGGACGGGUGAGUAACACGUGGAUAACCUACCUAUAAGACUGGGAUAACUUCGGGAAACCGGAGCUAAUACCGGAUAAUAUUUUGAACCGCAUGGUUCAAAAGUGAAAGACGGUCUCGCUGUCACUUAUAGAUGGAUCCGCGCUGCAUUAGCUAGUUGGUAAGGUAACGGCUUACCAAGGCAACGAUGCAUAGCCGACCUGAGAGGGUGAUCGGCCACACUGGAACUGAGACACGGUCCAGACUCCUACGGGAGGCAGCAGUAGGGAAUCUUCCGCAAUGGGCGAAAGCCUGACGGAGCAACGCCGCGUGAGUGAUGAAGGUCUUCGGAUCGUAAAACUCUGUUAUUAGGGAAGAACAUAUGUGUAAGUAACUGUGCACAUCUUGACGGUACCUAAUCAGAAAGCCACGGCUAACUACGUG
rnacentral:rRNA from 1 species